AUGAACUGUCUUGUCUUUAGUGAUGUUUUAUCCCUAGUUUAUUCUUUUGAUCUUGGGAAAUCAAAGAGAUUUGAAAUUGGCAUCCGAUUGGAUCGAUAUCAUGUAAAUGAAUACUACCUCGACACCAGUUUUGAGGUAAAACGUAUCUCUAUGGGGCAUUAUUGUAUCACCAACUUGUGUGAUCACAAGACCAGUGAAGGUUGCAGGGGUACAAUACGAGUAGUAGUGCAAGUAUGGUUGAGCAGUUUUGACAUGUGGAGAAACGAGGAUACUUCAAUGGAAGCUUUCUCCAAGUCUUUUCGUGAAGAAGAUGAUGAAGAAUCUCUCAAUUGGGCUGCUAUUGAGAGAUUGCCUACCUUCUUACGCAUAAGGAGAAGUAUACUCGCUGAUCAGGAGGAGGGUAAAGCCAGAGAAAUUGAUGUCAAGUAUCUUGGGUUACUAGAGAGGAAGAAUUUGUUGGAGAGGUUAGUGAAGAUUGCAGAGGAAGAUAAUGAGAAGUUCCUGUUCAAGCUCAGGGACCGCAUGAAUAGAGUUGGACUUGAAUUUCCAACAACUGAAGUGCAGUUUGAGCAUUUGAAUGUUGAAGCAGAAGCUUAUGUAGGAAGCAGGGCACUACCUACGAUGUUCAACUUCUCCAUUAAUAUGUUAGAGGGGCUCUUGAACUGCAUUCAUCUUCUUCCUAGUAGAAAGAAACCAUUGCCAAUCUUACAUGGUGUAAGUGGAAUAAUCAAGCCAAGAAGAAUGACACUGCUUUUAGGUCCUCCAGGCUCCGGAAAAACCACAUUGCUACUGGCAUUGGCUGGAAAGCUUGGUAAAGAUCUUAAAAGAUCGGGAAGAGUUACAUACAAUGGACUCGGUAUGGAUGAAUUUGUACCACAGAGGACAGCAGCUUACAUUAGUCAAUAUGAUAUUCACAUACCAGAGUUGACUGUUAGAGAAACUCUGGCUUUUUCAGCAAGAUGUCAAGGGGUCGGACCACGUUAUGAAAUGUUAGUAGAACUAUUAAGAAGGGAAAAGGCUGCAAAUAUUCUGCCAGAUUCAGAUCUUGAUGUCUACAUGAAGGCAGCAGCACUGGAAGGACAGGAAACCACUGUGAUUACUGAUUAUAUACUCAAGGUUUUGGGACUUGAAGUUUGCGCUGACACCAUGGUAGGCGAUCAAAUGAGACGAGGCAUAUCUGGUGGCCAAAGAAAGCGACUCACCACAGGGGAAAUGCUUGUUGGGCCAGCAAAGAGCACUUUUUAUGGAUGAGAUAUCAACUGGCUUGGACAGUUCAACAACAUUUCAGAUAGUAAAUUCAUUGAGACAGUCCAUUCACAUUCUCAAUGGAACUGCUGUAAUCUCUCUCCUGCAGCCCGCACCAGAAACUUAUGAUCUCUUUGAUGAUAUAAUUCUCCUCUCAGAUGGGCAUAUUGUGUAUCAAGGUCCUCGUGAAAAUGUGCUUGAGUUCUUCCAGUACAUAGGCUUCCAAUGUCCCGAGAGGAAAGGAGUCGCUGAUUUCCUCCAAGAAGUGACAUCGUGGAAAGAUCAGGAGCAAUAUUGGAGCAAUAAAGAUAAGCCUUAUAGCUUUGUCACGUCCAAGGAAUUUUCUGAAGCAUUGCAGUCAUUUCACAUUGGUCAAAAACUCGGUGUUGAGCUUACUAGACCUUUUGACAAGUCUCGAGGAAACCCUGCGUCUUUGACUACUGAGAAGUAUGGUGUUAGCAAGAACGAACUUUUUAAAGCUUGUAUGUCUAGACAUUAUUUGCUUAUGAAGAGGAACUCGAUUGUCUACAUUACCAGAAUGACAAUGUUCCUUAUAACUGCUUUUGUGACAAUGACACUAUUCCUACGGACUGAGAUGCACCGGGAUACUGUAGAUGAUGGUGGCAUAUAUAUGGGAGCUAUGUUCUUCACAAUGGUGGUGAUUAUGUUCAAUGGAUUCUCAGAGCUUGCUAUGACGAUCAUGAAACUUCCUGUGUUUUUCAAGCAAAGAGACCUGCUUUUCUAUCCUGCUUGGGCAGACUCUUUACCAACCAUGAUUAUAAGAAUCCCCAUGACCUUUGUGGAAGUUUCCAUUUGGAUGGCCAUCACUUACUACGGUAUUGGUUAUGAUCCAAGCAUUGAAAGAUUCUGCAAGCAGUUCCUUUUACUCGUAUGCAUUAGCCAGAUGGCAACUGGACUGUUCCGUUUGAUAGGCGCAUUAGGAAGGGACAUGAUGGUUGCAUACACAUUGGGAUCUGUUGCCUUACUAUGCGGUUUUGUUCUGGGUGGCUUUUUGUUAUCACGAGAGGAGAUGAAGAAUUGGUUGCUGUGGGGAUAUUGGCUCUCACCGAUGACGUAUGGAAUGAAUGCAAUGGCUGUCAAUGAAUUUUUUGGAAAGAGUUGGAGACGUGUUCCCCCCAACUCAACAGAAUCGUUGGGAGUUAUGGUCUUAAAGGCUCGAGGGGUAUCACCAGAAGCAAGUUGGUACUGGAUUGGUGUAGUAGCUUUAAUUGGAUUUGUUGUUAUGUUCAACUUCCUGUACACUCUGGCACUUCAGCUUCUCGAACCACUUGAUAAGCCUCAGGCAGUAUUGUCUAAAGAUGUCUGGGCAAUGAAACACGCUGUGAAAACUGGAGAGAGCAUUGAGCUAUCGGCAACAAGAAAGAACUCUACAGGUGGAUUCAUAAAUGCAGGAGUAGGGAAAGAAGUUCUAGAGAACAUGUCAGCCAAUCGUUCCUUCAAGCAGCGAGGAAUGAUUCUUCCUUUCCAACCACUCUCGAUCACAUUUUCUGAAAUCAGAUAUGCAAUUGACAUGCCACUGGAAAUGAAAGCUCAAGGCAUUACUGAGGAUCGACUAGAACUUCUGAAGGGUGUGAGUGGUUCUUUCAGGCCUGGGGUCCUAACAGCUUUAAUGGGUGUCAGUGGAGCUGGAAAGACUACUUUAAUGGAUGUUCUGGCAGGAAGGAAAACCGGUGGAUAUACUGAAGGAAACAUUACCAUUUCUGGAUAUCCAAAAAACCAAGAAACCUUUGCUCGCAUAUCAGGAUAUUGUGAGCAAACAGAUAUACACUCUCCACAUGUUACGGUUUAUGAGUCCUUGGUUUUUUCUGCAUGGUCUUCGGUUGUCCCCUGAGGUUGAUUCCCUAAACCAGUAAAGAUGUUAUUGNGGGAAGUUCAUGGAAACUUGUGGGAACUGACCCCGAUAACGAGAUGCACUUGUUGGAUUGCUGGAGGUAUGGUCUUUCAACUUGAGCAGCGUAAAAGGCUCACGAUUGCAGUGGAGCUUGUUGCCAAUCCAUCCAUAGUAUUCAUGGAUGAGCCUACCUCUGGCCUUGAUGCCAGGGCAGCAGCAAUUGUAAUGAGAACAGUGAGGAAUACAGUGGACACCGGAAGAACUGUUGUCUGCACCAUCCAUCAGCCAAGUAUUGAUAUAGUUGAUGCUUUUGAUGAGAUGUUCCUUCUGAAAUGGGGUGGUGAGGCAAUAUAUGUUGGCCCCUUAGGCUACCAUUCUUCUGACUUGAUCAAAUACUUUGAGGGAAUUAGCGGGGUUUCUAAGAUGAAGAAUGGUUACAAUCCUGCAACUUGGAUGUUGGAGGUUACUUCUGCAGUCCAAGAAGCUGCUCUGGGGAUUAAUUUCACAGACAUAUACAAGGAAUCGGAAGCAUACAGGAGAAACAAGGCCUUGAUCAACGAACUAAGUACGCCUCCACAAAAUUCAAAAGACCUGUACUUCCCAACAAAAUACUCGCAAUCUUUUUAUACCCAGUGCAAAGCGUGCCUGUGGAAGCAACAUUUGUCUUACUGGAGAAACCCGCCAUACAGUGCAGUUAGACUUCUUUCCACAACAUUGAUAGCUUUAGUAUCCGGGACAUUAUUCUGGGGUCUUGGUUCCAGAAGGCAAAAGAAGCAAGAUCUUUUUAACGCAAUGGGUGCUAUGUAUUCUGCUGUUCUGUUCAUUGGGCCACGAAAUGCCUCAACAGUGCAGCCAGUUGUAGGCAUUGAGCGAAUAGUCUUUUAUAGAGAAAGAGCUGCCGGAAUGUACUCUGCCUUGCCGUAUGCCUUAGGACAGCUUGGCGUUGAGCUCCCAUACACUUUGAUCCAAGCCAUCAUAUAUGUGGUUAUAGUGUACAGCAUGAUCGGAUUUGAGUGGACGGUCAGCAAGUUCUUUUGGCAACUAUUCUUCAUGUUCUUCACUUACCUAUACUAUACUCUGUAUGGCAUGAUGAGUGUGGUCAUCACUCCCAACCUUGCCGUUUCCGCUGUAGUUUCCACGGCAUUGAACCCACUGUGGAACGUUUUUUCAGGAUAUAUCAUUCCCAAAUCAAGAAUUCCAAUAUGGUGGAGAUGGUUCUACUGGUCAUGCCCGGUCUCUUGGAGCUUGUACGGAUUGAUUGGUUCACAGUUCGCAGGCAUUGAGGACAGGCUUGAUUCCGGCGAAACCGUGGAAGCUUUUACCAGGAGUUAUUUUGGGUACAGAGAAGACUUUCUCAAUGUUGUUGCGAUAGUGCUUGUAGCUAUUUCAGUGCUCUUUGGAUCCGUCUUUGCUUUUUCAAUCAAAGCCUUUAAUUUUCAGAAGAGAUGAAAAGGUGGUAUAUAAUCUGUAUUCCUUGUAAUGCAAAUGAUGCUUGAUUUUAUCUAAUCGAAGUGUUGCUCAAGUCUAUCAUCGAUCACAACAUUACUUAGGGAGUACAUGACUGCAUUACAGCAUAUUUUUCCUUACUGUGAAUAGGCUAACCAUAUUCAAUUAGACCUAUUGGCCAAGAAAUUGUUUAGUAGAAACGUGAUUAAUAAGAUAAGAAUUGG